rnacentral:rRNA from 1 species
UACGUAGGGUGCGAGCGUUGUCCGGAAUUAUUGGGCGUAAAGAGCUCGUAGGCGGUUUGUCGCGUCUGCUGUGAUAACUCGGGGCUUAACUCCGGGCCUGCAGUGGGUACGGGCAGACUAGAGUGCGGUAGGGGAGACUGGAAUUCCUGGUGUAGCGGUGAAAUGCGCAGAUAUCAGGAGGAACACCGGUGGCGAAGGCAGGUCUCUGGGCCGUAACUGACGCUGAGGAGCGAAAGCGUGGGGAGCGAACAGG